rnacentral:lncRNA from 1 species
GCAGUUCAGAUCCUGAUGGGGUAUUAUCGGUACAUACAUCUGGUGUAUACAUGAUGAUAUUCUAUGAAAGGGUUGUUUAUCCUGCAUUUCUCUUGACCUUACCCUGGCCUAGAUUACACCCGUGAGUGGGGAGGGAAUGAAUCAUUACAGGUACAGUUGGUGACUAUUGAUCUGUUGGUGACUCUUGGUUCCUGUUGGUGACUUGGUUCUGCAGAAUGGGUCUCAGAUGACUUUGG